rnacentral:lncRNA from 1 species
UGUGUUUCUGAUUCACUGAAACUUUUACUUUUAAUGUGGUUAAAUUUCAUGUGUUUUUCCUUUGUUACCUGUUCCUUUGGUGUCUUGUAGGGAGAUCUGAGUUUUAACAAAAAUGACUACAGCUAAUGCCUUACCUAAAACUGAGGCCAAGCAGAAGAAAUAAGUUCUCAGCUCAUCUGAAAUCCCAACCCAACUCCCUGGCUGUCUGCCCUAGGACAGGUAAGCACACUGGGUUUUGUUGUGGUUCUUAUGCUGGCUGCUGAUCACUCACAGGAGACCUGAGGGCACACACGGUUUCAAGCCAGACUACAUGUAUCUUUACUCUUGAUUCCAUUUUACAUUGAGGCUCCAUUUUGUAUAAGAAGAGCCCCUCGCAUUAAAAAACCCACACCUGCAUCUUCCACAUCCUGCUUCUCAUGCUUAAUGCAUCCUGCUUGCUAGAACAUAACAUGAAAAAAAGGAAAAAGAAAAAAUGUUUCUCAAUAUAUUAUCUUUUGUUCCUGUGCAAUGUUGCUUUGACCUACUUUGCUUGUUAUUUUGGGCUAUAAAAGGCAUGCUUUAGACCCUGGCGGGGGUAGAAGGGUGCAGAGGCAAUUUGGUAGCUACCCUUGGGCCACUGGCAAAUAAAGUUCCUUGUCCUGCUUCAAGACUGACCUGGUAAAUUAUUUCAUAUAUACACAAUGGAAUAUUACUCACCAAUAAAAGAGAAUAAAAUCAUGGAAUUUUCGGGUAAAUGGAUGGAGUUAGAGAAGAUAAUGCUAAGUGAAGUUAGCCAAUCCAGAAAAAAAAAACAACAAAUGCUGAAUGUUUUCUUUGAUAUAGGGGGCUGAUUCAUAGUGGGAUAGGGAGAGGGAGCAUGGGAGGAUUAGAUAAACUCUAGAUAGGGCAGAGGGGUUGGAGGGGAAGGGGAGGGGGCAUAGAGUAAAUAAUGAUGGUGGAAUAUGAUGAUCAUUAUUAUCAAAAGUACAGGUAUGAAGACACGAAUUGGUGUGAAUAUACUAUGUAUACAACCAGAGAUAUAAAAAAUUAUGCUCUAUAUAUGUAAUAAGAAUUGUAAUGCAUUCAGCUAUCAUAUAUAGAUAUAAAAAAUGUGCCACAAUAUUUAUACACCUCAGUGAGAUCACUGGAGUCAGGGCUGUGGCUCUUGGGCACAUAGGGAUCCUGGAUCCUUGGACCCAGAGAGGGGCACCCUCCCUCUCAAGUUGUGAGAUCUCUGCAUUGCAAUUGUCUGGACCCACUGCAGUGACUGAUUCAAGCCUGCCCAUGGAAGAGGACAUGAAACUGCAUGUGUUUGAAGGUACCUCACUUAUUCUCUCAGUAGCAGAGUGUUUCCUGGCUUGGCCCAGAAAUCCAGUAAAUAGACAAUGUCAAAGUCUGAAAUCUGGGAGGAGAGAGUGUACAACUCUUGUUUUGUUGAUGUUUGUCUCCAUCUGUCAGUGACUUUUGGUUCUCAUCUUACUGUCCAUCCCAGUACAUACUUUCCUUUUAGUUUGACAGAUCAGACCCAUCAGUGACUGGCCGAUAUGCCAACUUCAGACUCCAGUCACACUUGGUGUCUCAUCAAAUUCUUAUCUCUAACUUUCUGUCUAUUUCUGAUCUAAUCAGUCUCAACAUUUGACUCCACUAGAAUGUAUGUUAAAAAUUUUCUCAUCUGGGUUCCACAAUGAUUAUGGGGUAUGCCUGACACUGGGACACCUCCAGACCCUGUGUGAGUUGGAAUGGCCCACAUUCAAUGUGGAAUGGCUAAGUGUGGUUCAGUGGACCCCCAUGCUGACCAGAGGGUCUGGAAUGUGGUAAUUUGUAGGCCUGGCCAUCCUGAUCAGUUCCCAUAUAUAGACCAAUGGCUUGGUUCUAAAUCCUCUGCUGUGGUGUAUUAAGGAAGUGACAUAGUUGGCCAAGAUUCUGGCUCUACAGGGUGGCAGGGUUCCCAGAAUUGCCAAAAGCAGGAUAAAAUGCAAGGCACAGAUUGACAACAGCCUCCAUGGCAUCUGUUGGCUCCUGUUCUGCCCCCUUCAGGUGAGGACAAUUUGCCACUCCCCAUAUAAUUCUCAUGGGCCCCAGACCCCUGCACAUUCCCAUGUGUCCUACCCUGGAUCUAUUAUAUCUCCUUCUUCUUCCUCUUUCAGAGUGUCCAUAACUCUCACUUCUCUCUUUGAGUCUAUUUUUCACAUUCAUCACCCCUCCUGGGAUGAUUGCCAACAACUUCCAAGGACUGUCCUAAAUUAAAGGCAAAAAAAGAGCAAGAUGGAGCCCAGCAACUCUUGUUAACUCUUUUCACCUCUGAUGAGCAAGGACCACAUUAGGACAGAGGCCAGCAAAGCUUUUCUUGAGGCUGCUCGUUGCACCGAAGCUGAGGUGACAACUGCUAGAGGAUGCCCUUCCUGAUACCAUCCAGAUUGGGACCCUAAUUCUGAUGUGGGCCAGGCACACUUGGAUGCCUAUCACCCACACCUAUUUGUAGGGCUAUGAGGGGCAGCUAAAAAAGCCCAUCAGUUUUUCUGAAACCACUGAGGUACUCCAGGGCCCCAAAGAGGCUCCAUGUUUGUUUUUUAAAAGUUUGAAAGAUACUUUCAGGACAUACACUCCCUUUGACCUGGAGGCACCAGAAAAUGCUCAGGCCAUAAAUUUGGCUUUUGUCUCUCAGUCAGCUCCAGAUAUUUGCAGAAAACUCCAAAAACUCAAAGGGUUUGCAGGCAUGAAUUCUUCCCAACUACUCAAGGUGGCCCAGAAGGUUUUAACAAUCAUGACAGUGCAGCUAAUAAAGCUGCAAAAUACCAGUUUAAAAUCUUGCUGUCCACUAUCCAAGAGUCCAGAAAAACCAGUUCAGAGUCAGAUCAAAGGAACAGAAAUCCAAAAGGAAAGAAAACACCAUUAGGCAAAGUUUGAUGUGACUGGUGUAAAGAACAUGAACAUUGGAAAAAGGACUGUCCUAAAUUAAAGGCAAAAAAAGAGCAAGAACAGAGCCCAGGUGGUUCUCACCAUGGCCUUCCCCUCUGAUUCAGAGGCUGAUGAAUGAAGGAGCCAGGGCUCAAUAUCUCUCAGCCUCCAUAAGCACAUCCAUGGUAAUUGCCAAGAUAGGGGUCCAAAUUCUUAAUCUUGUAGUUGAUAUUGGAGCAGGAUAUUCUGUCCUCACCUCUCCCAUAGACCCUAGGGAAAAAUCACCAUACAAUAGGAAAAGGCGCAAUAGGAAACAUCAAACAUUACCCAAUGACCACCAAAAGGACUGUACACCUAGGAACAAAGGCAGUGACACAUUCUUUUCUUGUUGUCCCUGACUGCUCAUUUAUCCUUUUAGGAUGUGAUCUGCUCUGAAAAUUGGGUGCUGUUAUCUCAUUUUCUCCUAUAGGCACAACUCUUUCUCUCAGACUAGCCUAGCAGCUCUUAGUGGCAAUACUGCUCAGUGAUGAAUAUAUGUUUAUUCCCCAACCUAAAGGAAACCACUCUCCCAAAGAAAUUGAACUAUUGAACUGCUGGAAACAAAAAUAUCUUGAUGUAUGGACUGAACAAGGACAUCCAGGCCUGGCUCAACACCACCCUCCAGUGGUUGUAAAAACUUUUAUCUUCGGCACAAAAGGUGAGAGUAAAAUGAGAUAUCCCAUGAGUUUCCAGGCUCGAAAAUGAAUUUCUCCUCACAUAUGCUGGCUCCUGGAGGCCAGAAUACUGACUUCCUGCAAGUCCGCCUGGAACACACUGUUCCUGUCUGUAAAGAAGCCAGGAGGAGGGGCUGGGGUUGUGGCUCAGCAGUAGAGCGCUUGCCCAGCACAUGAGAGGCCCUGGGUUUGAUCCUCGGCACCACAUAAAAAUAA